ensembl:lncRNA
AUGAACUCCUGGAUGUACUCGUGGUGCACUACUAUCAUGUCAUGGACGCAAAUGAGGAACACAAAUACAGGGGUCCUUCUGACAUUUCAGAGAUUUGUCAAAGAGCUUCAACAUGAAAAGCCAAUGGUGCAUUUGUUGCAUGUGGAAAUGGUGGCCCUUGUUAGAGAGCUCCUGAGCAAAUUUAUGAGACCAAAGGCUAUUCCACUGAGUCACAAGGAGAUUCUCAAGGUUGAUGUACGGAGCAGGGAUUUGCAACUGUCAAACCAGAGGCUCUCUGUUGGACAAUUCUGCUACAAUGCAAUGAACAAAGCUCGUGUGGAGAGGAAGGUAUGGGUUGGACAUAUCUAUGACUCUCUCAGAGAAGGGUAUAUGAGGUCAGCAGAGUUUCUGCUAAAAAACCUUCCCCUGGAUAACAUCAUAUUAACAUCACUCUCUGCUCUGACGCCGUCUCUAAUUCAAUCCGAUGCAGUUGUUGGAGCAUUCACUACAUUAGGAGAGGCCUUGCCAAAUGUUGUCCCUCCAGAAGAGAUCGGUCAACUGGUUGAAGAAUGCCGGGCCUACCAGAUGGAUGCGGACAUGCUUCUUCGUGUACCAAACUACAUCGAAGGGGACUGUCGAGUUGAUGUAGACUGGUGGAGCCAUGUUGCUUCUUUGAAAAAUGCAGAGAGAGGUGUGAAGUAUCCCACCCUGUGCAAACUUGUUAAAGCGCUUCUGUCCAUUUUUACAGGCCCCUUGGUGGAAGGAUCAUUCAAUUUAAUGGAUGAUAUCCUAGAGUCUGACAGGUGCUCCAUGAAUGUGGAAACAUACGAGAGCCUCGCAGUGAUCAAGUCCACACUUAAGGCCAGGAACUGGACAGCCUCAACUAUGAACAUUGACCAGCCUUUAAGGCGAUCCUGCCUUUCCUCAUUCCAAAACUACCAAUUACAUUUAAAGAAAAAGAAAGAGACUGCACAGGCACUAAAGAAGAAAAGGCUUAGUGAGGCAGCAAGGAUUCUGUCCUCAAAGGAGGCAAACAAAUUGUCUCAACAGGCCCGAAAAACCAAAAGGCCAGCAAUAUCCUCCUCUGCACAAACCUCCACCUCCUCUGCACAAGCCUCUACCACCUCUGCUCAACAGGCCCUCCUGAAAAAGAGAAGACUACCCCAACCCUCCUCUGCGCAAGCCUCCACUUCCUCUGCACAAGCCUCCAUUUCCUCUGCUCAACAGGCCAUCCUGAAAAAAAGACCACCCAAACCCUCCUCUGCACAAGCCUCCAUUUCCUCUGCUCAACAGGCCAUCCUGAAAAAAAGACCACCCAAACCCUCCUCUGCACAAGCCUCCAUUUCCUCUGCUCAACAGGCCAUCCUGAAAAAAAGACCACCCAAACCCUCCUCUGCACAAGCCUCCAUUUCCUCUGCUCAACAGGCCAUCCUGAAAAAAAGACCACCCAAACCCUCCUCUGCACAAGCCUCCAUUUCCUCUGCUCAACAGGCCAUCCUGAAAAAAAGACCACCCAAACCCUCCUCUGCACAAGCCUCCAUUUCCUCUGCUCAACAGGCCAUCCUGAAAAAAAGACCACCCAAACCCUCCUCUGCACAAGCCUCCAUUUCCUCUGCUCAACAGGCCAUCCUGAAAAAAAGACCACCCAAACCCUCCUCUGCACAAGCCUCCAUUUCCUCUGCUCAACAGGCCAUCCUGAAAAAAAGACCACCCAAACCCUCCUCUGCACAAGCCUCCAUUUCCUCUGCUCAACAGGCCAUCCUGAAAAAAAGACCACCCAAACCCUCCUCUGCACAAGCCUCCAUUUCCUCUGCUCAACAGGCCAUCCUGAAAAAAAGACCACCCAAACCCUCCUCUGCACAAGCCUCCAUUUCCUCUGCUCAACAGGCCAUCCUGAAAAAAAGACCACCCAAACCCUCCUCUGCACAAGCCUCCACUUCCUCUGCACAAGCCUCCACCACCUCUGCUCAAAAGGCCCUUGAAAAAAGAAGACCACCCCAACCCUCCUCUGCACAAGUCUCCACAUCAUCUGCACCAUCACAGUUUUUUCCUCUCUUUUAUCAAUCCAAAGCAUCAUCAACCAUGUUAAAAAGGAAAGGUUCCGAGGACCAAAAACAAUGUUCAUCAAAAAGGAAGAAAUGAAGGGAGGGAGACAUGUUUUCCACACUGUCUUUUACAGUUAUUUAUUUUGGUUUUUCAGUUGUUUUUCAGUGGUCACCAUUUGCAUGUUUUGAAAAAAAAACAAACUACGUUCAGAAAGGAAGAAAUGAAGGGAAGGAGAAAUGUUUUUGUUAAUCCCAUACCGUCUUUUACAGUAUAUUCAUUUUUUAUAGUUUUUCAGUUGAAUGGUGCAUAUUUUGCAAUUAAAUUUGUUAAAGAAAAAUGAAUGUGUGUCCUUUUCAUGUCUUUUAGGUAAUCAAUUCCUGUGUACUUUGGAGUACUAUUAUUGCCACUUACUGACCUGUCUUGGUAUGACUGUAGCAUCUGCAGCAUUUACUUCCAGUGAUUGUACUAAGAUGGGCUAAUAAGGUCAAUGUAGGCACUGAACAUAUUGAGAAGAAAAUGCUGUUUUCUUGAAUAAUACUGAGGGCAUAAUGCAAAUAUGAAAAUAUCUAAAAAAGAGCCACUUGUCAAUAAUGAUGAUCAGGGUUAUACAUACUUAGGCUGUUUAUAUAUUUGGGCCCAGGGGCCAACAAGUUGUGUUAAAAGUGCGUUGCAUACAUAGUACCCUCUCGGGGGGCAAGGAAAAAAAGUUCAGGCUCAGGAAUUUUUUUCACUAUCAGCCCUGCAUUGUAAAAACACCAUAAUUAACCUGCAGUUACGGGAUGAAAGAUAGGAUUUAAAGGUUGGGAAUCCUAUUAAAGAUACUUUCACCAAAUAACAAAUAAACCAAGUUGAACUAUCCA